UACAGAGGGGGCUAGCGUUGUUCGGAAUCACUGGGUGUAAAGGGUGCGUAGGCUGUCCGUUAAGUCUGAUGUGAAAAGCCCUGGGCUCAACUCAGGAAUUGCAUUGGAAACUGGCGGACUCAGAGUACCGGAGAGGGAAGCGGAAUUCCUGGUGUAGCGGUGAAAUGCGUAGAUACCAGGAGGAACACCGGUGGCGAAAGCGGUUUCCUGGCCGAGUACUGACGCUGAGGCACGAAAGCGUGGGGAGCGAACGGG
rnacentral:rRNA from 1 species